GUCAUGUCAUAUGUGAGAAGGAAGUUCAGGGUUUUUCUUCUUGUUGUUUACUUUAGUCAAAGUAACACCUCUGUACUCACAACUACGAUGAGAACUGUGCCAUAAAAGUCAGAAAUUGUCGAAGGAGCUCAAUCACAAACCUCACGGAGCUGAAGAAUGAUGGAGAGCGCUGACGUUAAAGUGAAAGUAAUUAAGAGACAAAGCAAAGACUAUGCUACUAACUUCAAUGCCAAACACACGCCGUCGCCAAAAACAGAAGACAGUACGUUAGAUGACAUAAGAUUCAAAUGCUGGUGUCAUGAGGUUUUACCAAACCAGAGAGCAGAGAGAUGCAGUUCAGGAUUGGAUGAGACGCCACCUGAUAAGUUGCAGUGAAGUUUCAGUCAACAAACUUGGAAUGGGUGAAAUCAAACUUUUAAAUAUGUGAUAUGGGUAAUGGGUAUGUGAUAUUUCAAAAUAACGUUUAUUUUUUAGAAAAAGAAAAACUAAUAAUAAUUCC